CUUGAUGUACUUCAGAGCUUCUAACAGAGCUACGGUUUCCAGCUGAGCAAUGGAAGCCGCCCGAACUGUUUUGGUGAAACCGUCCACAAGGCGGCCUGAGAAGUCGCGGACGAUGCAGGAUAUCGCGCCUUCCCUCGACCCUGCACAAAUCGACCAUCGACGUUGAUCUUCAUGGUCCCUGUCGCCGGAGCUACCCAGAUCUGAGGUAUCUCGGUUUCGUCUGACUUUCUUGCUUGAGGGUGUUGAAAGCCCCAUUUUCCAUAGCUUUUCUGCUGAAAUCGGGCCAGAUCUAUUACUUUGCAGGCAUCCGGCUGACUUCCCCGAAAUAUAUAGUUAUUCCGCCCCUUCCAAAUUUGCCAGAGGAUGUUUGAAAUACCUUCCAAGGAAGGUAAGUGAGUGUCUUUCCUUAUAAAGAGCGCCAACCACGCAUCAAUUCGGGUGACUUCCUUAUAUUAGUCAGUGGAGAAUAUGGUG
rnacentral:lncRNA from 1 species